UACAGAGGUCUCAAGCGUUGUUCGGAUUCAUUGGGCGUAAAGGGUGCGUAGGCGGCGCGGUAAGUCGGGUGUGAAAGCCCCGGGCUCAACCUGGGAAUUGCAUUCGAGACUGCAUUGCUGGAGUACGGAAGAGGAGGGCGGAAUUCCCGGUGUAGUGGUGGAAUGCGUAGAUAUCGGGAGGAACACCAGUGGCGAAGGCGGUUGCCUGGAGCUUUGCUGACGCUGAUGCGCGAAAGCGUGGGGAGCGAUCCGG
rnacentral:rRNA from 1 species